rnacentral:rRNA from 1 species
UAACACCUGGAAACUUAGAUGCUAAUACCGGAUAACAACAGAUGAUGCCUAUCAACUGUUUAAAAGAUGGUUCUGCUAUCACUCUUGGAUGGACCUGCGGUGCAUUAGCUAGUUGGUAGGGUAACGGCCUACCAAGGCGAUGAUGCAUAGCCGAGUUGAGAGACUGAUCGGCCACAUUGGGACUGAGACACGGCCCAAACUCCUACGGGAGGCAGCAGCG